UGAGAAGGCAACAAGGACCAAGGGUGGGACUAUCAGUACUGCCACUGACAGCUGGAGGACUUGAGGCACAGAGCAGUUAUUACCCUAGGUUGCUGAACUAGGAAAGGGCACAGCCAGGAUGGACUCUCCAGCAGCCUGGCCUGGCGUCAGGAUGCUCGACCCCAAGAAAGUUCUGGAACUUCCCUGUGCUCUCCCUCUGGCUGCUCCGUGUGGGGCUCCGACUCCCAAGAGCCCCGGGGCUGCUGUGGGCAGAUAAUCAGGAAGCAGACAUUCAACUACAAAAGCAAACAUUGACCAAGGCAGGCAGCAGGGCCUAUGGCGUGGGAGCGCUACCUGGACCCCUCACAGACUGCCGGGUGGGGCUGGGGGCCGGGGACACCAGGAGCCGCCCACUGACCUGUGUGUCUGCCCUGUGGCUCCGUCUGUCCUGGGGUGCCUUUCUUUCCUCCCUGUCAGGCCACACACAUGAGGAGCCAGCUCCCAUGCAGAGGGCCCCCUCAUCGCCCCACAUGGACACACCUACUUUCCAUUGUCACCUGUCAGCAUGUCCGGGCUGUGCUCCAGUCCUGACUGUGGCCCUGAUCCCUCUGGGACUGAUCCAACCCCUCCCCCUUCUGCACCAACUACAGGAAGAAGGGCUUCCACUAGGCCAGCACCCAGGGCUCCUCAGGCCCCCACUCUGAGCCACCGUGUAGCGUGGGCUCUGAGGGAGCAGGGUCAGUGGGAGCCGGCAGGGACAGAGUGGCCCUAGGAUGUGCUCUGCCGAGAGAGGGGAAUUGAGUCACUGCGUGGGGUCUUCCAUGGUGCCCUGGAGGGCACUUGGAGGAAGCUAACUAGAACAAACUGGGCACUGUCCACGUCGCUGGGCUCAGCAGGGGUCACCCUUCCCAGGGUGGGGACUAUGAGGUCUUCACUCAACUGUGAUGCCACACCAGAUUAUCUUGCUAUCCAGCAUGUCCUCAGUCUGAACUGUGCUCUGACCAGACAAUCACACCAAGACCCAACUCCCCCACACAAUGCGACUGAGAUCUGUGUUUUUGGAGAUGAUUGCCUGAUUUCUCCCAAAAAGGGUUUUAACUUUUCAUAGACAGGGGGAUUCUAGGAGCCUCAUGACUUUCCCUAAUUUUCCCUCCACCUCCAACACGUACCUGCCCACCUCGUCCAAGCCCCGGGCUUGACAGGUGUCCCCUCUGAGAACAUUACUGCACUGACUUUGUCCCCGAGGGUGAGGUGAACCGCUGGGGACUGAUGCCAGGGACUGGGGAGUGGCCGUGCCCUGAAGGAAGGUCAAGGCACAGGAGUCAUGUAACGCACCUUCUCCAACCACAGCACAACCAUGUGAGGACUGAUGACAAGAACGGAGUGGAAAAUACCCGGCCAUCUGGGAAUUACAAAAACAACCCAUCAGCCAAACAAGAAACCAUAAUGGAAACCGAUAUUUGGAACUGAAUGAUGAAAAAGUACUUCACAGUAAAACUUGUAGGAUCCACCUAAAAUUGCAUGGAAGGAUAAUUCUAUGGAUUUAAAUGGUUAUAUUAGAAAAGAAGGAUGUCUGAAAAGUAAUGAGCCGAACAUCCAGCUCAAUAAACUAGAAAAAGGGGAACAAAGAAAGAAGGAAAUAAAAAAAUAAGAGCAGAAAUUAAUGAAAUGGAAAACAAUAUACAAAACAAAGGAAUAACUAACGCCAGAAGCUUGAUCUUUGAAAGGACAUCAGUUUUAGUGAUCUGUUUCAUUGCAGUGACCGCAGUUAAUAAUAAUGCAUUUUAUGUUUUUAAAUUCUUAAAAGAAUAGAUUUUAAAUGUUUUCACCACAAAAAAUAAUGUGUUGAUGAGGUGAUAGAUAUGUCAAUUAGCUUGAUUGAAUCUUUCUACAAUGUAUACAUAGAAUAAAACAUUACAUUGUA
rnacentral:lncRNA from 1 species